AAAACUCACCAGGUCCAGACAUAGUAAGGAUUGACAGAUUGAGAGCUCUUUCUUGAUUCUAUGGGUGGUGGUGCAUGGCCGUUCUUAGUUCGUGGAGUGAUCUGUCUGCUUGAUUGCGUUAACGAACGAGACCUUAACCUCUAAAUAGUUUUACCAACCAUGAUUUGGUAGCCAACUUCUUAGAGGGACUGUCGGCAUCAAGCCGACGGAAGAUUGAGGCAAUAACAGGUCUGUUAUGCCCUUAGAUGUCCUGGGCCGCACGCGCGCUACACUGAUGAAGUCAACGAGUUUAUAACCUUGGCCGGAAGGUCUGGGUAAUCUUUUGAAACUUCAUCGUGCUGGGGAUAGAGCAUUGCAAUUAUUGCUCUUCAACGAGGAAUUCCUAGUAAGCGUGAGUCAUCAGCUCGCGCUGAUUACGUCCCUGCCCUUUGUACACACCGCCCGU
rnacentral:rRNA from 1 species